UCUAUAAUGUUCUUACAUUAUGUAUAGAUGAUUCAGAUAAAUUGGUUUGGAAUCUGCGGUUAUUUGUGUUUUUAUAAGUUUUUAUCCAUCAAAGGGUCUAAAGUUCAUGGAUAAGUAUUCAUGUUUAUCAAUAACUAAGAAAUUCAUGUUUAAUAAUUUUUGUAUGCAAUAUUUUUACUACUUAGGAUUCCUAACGGGUAUAUUGGUGAGUUAUGGGUCAAAUCUAUGAAACAAGUUUGACCUAAUUUUGUACCGACUAAAAGAACAAUUAUUUAUAAAUUAUAUUUUGAAAACACUGAUUACGUUCAUUGUGUUGAUGGUGAAAAAUUAAUGCUAAAAAAGUCUGCUGUGCCUAGUGUUUUUAAUUCUGUUAUAAGUGUUUCAACAUGUUUGACACCAUCAAAAUUGAAAUGUAAAAACUCUCCUGAGGUAAUUGGAGUGAUAAUAGAUGAUUUGCCUAUGCUUAAAAGUUCUCGAACAUGUAUGUUCUUCUCGAUGCCAAAGCAAUCGCAUGAAACAGACAAGGAAAUGGGAAUAACAACAAUGAAGCUUCAUCUUCUACUAUGCUGACAAACAUGAAAGUUUUUUUGAAAAGUUACUUAUGUCUUGUUAAAUGUAGUGUAUUUAACCAUGUAGAACUUGAAAGCUUAGAAAUGAAACAUCUACGUAGUGAACUUCAGAGUCAGACAGAGAAAUUAAAAAUUCAGUAUCAGAAAGUAGAACGUUUGAAUGUGGUAGGUAGGUACCUAAGUUAUAUUUUAGAUAACAAUAAGACAGUUUUUGAUGUGAAAUAACAAUAAAAUGUUUAUAACGAAAUAUAAUACAACGCAGGAUUUGUAGCAAGAAAAUUAAAAACAAGAAUGAUGUUUGAAGAUUGUGUAACUGUUAUUCAGAUCAAAAUAUUAUAUCUCAAAAAUCUUUAUUUAAUGUUCUAAAUAAAGGUGGGCUAACUAAACCUUCCAAAGAAUUUAUUUUUAAAAGCAAUAUAGCAGAGAUUUCAAAACAAUUUAAUAUUAUUCAACAUUUAAUAGUAAAAUCUUCAGCUCACCUGAAAAUAAAUAAAUUAUUCACUGGGAUUUCAAAUUAUUUAUUAAAUCAAUCGCUUUUAAACA